rnacentral:rRNA from 1 species
CACUGGAUGGCGAGUUUGAUCCUGGCUCAGGACGAACGCUGGCGGCGUGCUUAACACAUGCAAGUCGAACGGGGCCAUCGCCUUCGGGUGGUGGUCGAGUGGCGGACGGGUGCGUAACACGUGAACAAUCUGCCCACGGGUGGGGGAUACCCUUCAGAAAUGGAGGCUAAUACCGCAUACGGUCUGCUGGGGGAGCCUGGCAGAAGAAAGCUGGCGCGCAAGCGUUGGCGCCGGUGGAGGGGUUCGCGGCCGAUUAGCUAGUUGGUGGGGUUACGGCUCACCAAGGCGACGAUCGGUAGCUGGUCUGAGAGGAUGAUCAGCCACACUGGGAUUGAGAACGGCCCAGACUCCUACGGGGGGCAGCAGUGAGGGAUAUUCGGCAAUGGGGGCAACCCUGACCGAGCGACGCCGCGUGGGGGAUGACGGCCUUCGGGUUGUAAACCCCUUUUCUGUGGGACGAGGUAUACGGACGGUACCACAGGAAGAAGCCUCGGCUAACUACGUGCCAGCAGCCGCGGUAAUACGUAGGAGGCGAGCGUUGUCCGGAGUUACUGGGCGUAAAGGGUGCGCAGGCGGCCCCGCGCGUGGGUGGUGAAAUCUCCCGGCUCACCUGGGAGGGGGCCAUCCAGACGGCGGGGCUUGAGGCUCGGAGAGGGACGUGGAAUUCCGGGUGGAGCGGUGAAAUGCGUAGAGAUCCGGAGGAACACCGACGGCGAAGGCAGCGUCCUGGCCGAGACCUGACGCUCAGGCACGAAAGCUGGGGGAGCGAACAGGAUUAGAUACCCUGGUAGUCCCAGCUGUAAACGAUGUCCACCCGGUGCUGGCGGUAUCGACCCCGUCAGUGCCUCAGCUAACGUGAUGAGUGGACCGCCUGGGGAGUACGGCCGCAAGGUUAAAACUCAAAGGAAUUGACGGGGGCCCGCACAAGCAGCGGAGCGUGUGGUUUAAUUCGAUGCGACGCGAAGAACCUUACCUGGGCUUGACAUGCAGUUGCACCACCCGUAAUGGGGUGUCCCCGCAAGGGGCGGCUGCACAGGUGCUGCAUGGCUGUCGUCAGCUCGUGCCGUGAGGUGUUGGGUUAAGUCCCCUAACGAGCGCAACCCCUGGGGUCCGUUACAAGUGGUGUCGGGCCCGACUGCCGCGCGCAACGCGGAGGAAGGCGGGGAUGACGUCAAGUCAGCACGGCCCUUACGUCCAGGGCGACACACACGCUACAAUGGCCGGUACAGUGAGACGCCAAGCCGCGAGGUGGAGCCAAUCUCCCAAAGCCGGUCUCAGUUCGGAUUGCAGGCUGCAACUCGCCUGCAUGAAGCUGGAGUUGCUAGUAACCGUGGGUCAGCACACCACGGUGAAUACGUUCCCGGGCCUUGUACACACCGCCCGUCACACCAUGGAAGCCGGCAACACCUGAAGCCGGUGGGCCAACCUGGGGGUCUCCCCCAAGAGGCAGCCGUCGAGGGUGGGGUCGGUGACUGGGGUGAAGUCGUAACAAGGUAGCCGUACCGGAAGGUGCGGCUGGAUCACCUCCUUUCUA